AUACGGAGGAUGCAAGCGUUAUCCGGAUUCAUUGGGUUUAAAGGGUGCGCAGGCGGAGUGAUAAGUCAGUGGUGAAAGCCUACAGCUUAACUGUAGAACUGCCAUUGAUACUGUCAUUCUUGAGUAUUGUUGAGGUAGGCGGAAUGUGUCAUGUAGCGGUGAAAUGCUUAGAUAUGACACAGAACACCGAUCGCGAAGGCAGCUUACCAAGCAAUAACUGACGCUCAUGCACGAAAGCGUGGGGAUC
rnacentral:rRNA from 1 species